rnacentral:rRNA from 1 species
UGGUGGAGUGAUUUGUCUGCUUAAUUGCGAUAACGAACGAGACCUUAACCUGCUAAAUAGCCCGGCCCGCAUUUCGCGGGCCGCUGGCUUCUUAGAGGGACUAUCGGCUCAAGCCGAUGGAAGUUUGAGGCAAUAACA